AGCUCAUGGACCUUACAGAGAAGAGUAAGCAGAGCCAAGCUGCACAAGAAGACUGUCAGAGAGCUGAGCUGCCAAGAAGACUCAGACUGGACCAGCUGCCCAGACGAAGCAAAAACUAGCCAAGCUGGCUGGAAGAGGUUUAGACCAGUUUGUGAGCCGUCAGCCAUGCUGAGUGCGUUUUGGUGAUGCAGCUGUCUUUGGUUACUUCUGCUCCUGUAAGUAACACCAAUAAAACUCCAUAUUGGACUUUUGUGUGUCUAUCUGAGAGAUCCAGCUGCCUCUGCCUCCCCAGUACGUGGGACACCACCACCCAUCCCAAGAGUAUUUCUCUUAAGAUUAGAAGCUGCCACCUGGAAGUUCUUCUGGAAGCAUAGCAAUGCAGUCCAUCAAGAGAUAACAGCUGUGCAGCUAAGACGUGCAAAGACACUAACGUGUCCGACAAGAUCACGGAUCUGUAAAAAAAUCUAGAUGACAAUCCAUAAACUGACUCAAGCAAGAAAAUGAGUCAGCAGCUUAGCGGGCAACAUGCUACAAUAAACACACCGGCAUCUUUAUGCUACAGAGUAGCCAGCUAGAUGAUCCAUUUACAAUGGCAACAGAGAAGAUGAACUAUCUCGGGGCAAAUGAGAUCCAGAAACACACAGAGCCACCAUGAGGAAAACAUUUUGAAAACUCAAAAAGAGCUCAUUAGCAUGGGAUAUGAGGAUGACGUCAUUUUCCUUCCAUACCAUGACUGGAGGCAGAAAGCUGUGACUCUUCCCAAGUUACUUUAUUAA
rnacentral:sRNA from 1 species